AACGAACGCUGGCGGCAUGCCUAACACAUGCAAGUCGAACGAGACCUUCGGGUCUAUUGGCGCACGGGUGCGUAACGCGUGGGAACCUGCCCUUAGGUUCGGAAUAACUCCCCGAAAGGGGUGCUAAUACCGGAUAAUGUCUUCGGACCAAAGAUUUAUUGACUUUGGAUGGGCCAGCGUUGGAUUAGCUAGUUGGUAGGGUAAAAGCCUACCAAGGGGUGGAUCCAUAGCUGGUCUGAGAGGAUGAUAAGCCACAAUGGGACUGAGACACGGCCCAGACUCCUACGGGAGGCAGCAGUGGGGAAUAUUGGACAAUGGGCGAAAGCCUGAUCCAGCAAUGCCGCGUGAGUGAUGAAGGCCUUAGGGUUGUAAAGCUCUUUUACCCGGGAUGAUAAUGACAGUACCGGGAGAAUAAGCUCCGGCUAACUCCGUG
rnacentral:rRNA from 1 species